rnacentral:rRNA from 1 species
AUUGAACGCUAGCGGCAUGCUUUACACAUGCAAGUCGAACGAGUGGCGGACGGGUGAGUAAUAUAUCGGAACGUGCCCAGUAGCGGGGACUAACUACUCGAAAGAGUGGCUAAUCCCGCAUACCAUUGGAGCGGCCGAUUGCGGAUUAGCUAGUUGGUGGGGUAAAGGCUCACCAAGGCAACGAUCCGUAGCUGGUUUGAGAGGACGACCGGCCACACUGGGACUGAGACACGGCCCAGACUCCUACGGGAGGCAGCAGUGGGGAAUUUUGGACAAUGGGCGAAAGCCUGAUCCAGCCAUCCCGCGUGUAUGAGAAGGCCUUCGGAUUGUAAAGUACUUUUGGCAGAGAAGCGGUAUCUGCAGAAUAAGCACCGGCUAACUACGUGCCAGCCGCCGCGGUAAUAC